UUUUUUCUUCUUCCGUUAGCAAACUGGAGUAAAAAGCAAGUUUUUUUUGCUUCUGUUUGCUCCGGAGCAGCUUCUGUGUACUAGAACAAACCUAUUAUACAAAACCAUCUGACAACGCUGCUUUAAAGUGAAAAGUGCUCUUCAAACAUCGAUGACAUCUUUUUUGUUUUUUCCUGUUUUCUCUACCUAUCUGAUAAUGUAUUUCCACGGCUUACAUAUACUUUCUGUGAGCCGUGAUGUAUUUCAUCCUGCCAAGGAAUCCAAAAACAUCAGCUGUCUCCCGUUUCCUGAGAGUUCGCCGACCAGUUUUGCUUUCAAGCUGAAGAAAAAACUACAGUUUAACUUCACCAGGCACAAUCAUCAGAAUGAGAUGCAGGAAAAUAUUAACCCAGAAUGGUUUCGUGUUACCGUCCAGUGUGAGAAACAUUUCACAAAUGAUAAUCGUGUAUGCCUAAAAGGUUUGUAUUUGUGCGGAUCUGCAAAUUCGGUUUUUGUGGAAUAAUUCGACCAAGGGCUAUGAUGUAGCAGCGGUGGAGAGUAAGUCCAAUCAUACGGCUUCAUCCCACCCCGGGAGCAGAUGAGCGCUAGCGAAUGUUCUCAGGCGGUUGGAGUUCUGGAAGGGAACGACUGGUAACUUUAUGGGUAUAUAUGAAGCCGAAAACACCCACAACAAUGGGGUAACUAACAUAAAGCUCGCCGGUGACAAAGUGAUAGUCGCACGGUUGAGUGGAAGAAUCGAUUUUCUGAGACUGGAAACGUACACGCAAGGUUGUCAGAUCGAUUGGGGAUUUACGUCUGCAUGUGGGCGAAGUAAGUUCUAUGUUUCAAGCAAUUUUUUUAGCUCACCUAGGGCGCAGAACAGAAAGAUUUUACUUCUUUUAAAUACUGCAUAUUCUAAGUCAUUUAAUUUUCAGUCUGUAAUGAGUAUUUCAUCAAGUGCCUUAAUUCUUAUUCUUUUUUAGCCCACGAACGCACCGGUUCGGCAGGAAGCAUUAGUUUAUUUCCGCUAUCCGCCGGCUCAAAUCCGUCCACAGCGUUGCCAGCUCAACAUCACGUAUCCGAGGAGUAUCAUGGAGUUUCACAGCAGGGUCACCGUCGACAUGUUUGGAAGUGGCGGGCGGUACAGUCAUGACUGGCAGCCAGGGCCACACUGUUAAAGUGUUCCGGCUCGAUAGCGAUAGGUUUACGUCGAAAUAUGUAUAACUCGAAUUUUCCACUCACGUAAAUAUAGAUGGUGCGAUGGAAUGUUUUCUUGGGGGCAUUACCGCAUCGAGUUAGUUUUACAGAUUUAAAUAUUUUUUUCAAGACCUUAUAAUAGUUCCGGCUCGAUAGCCACCUAUUGCAGUUCACCCUAAACGGCCAUUGCGGUCCUAUCACAUGUAUUUUCAUAGGCCAGUGGCAGGCCGAUAUGGGCGCAUCUGGUUACCAGGAUGGUGUGCUAUGUGUGUGGGACUUGAUACGGGGUGCCUGUAUGUACAAAAUUGAAGCCCAUGACGACUCAAUCGUCGCACUUGCCUGUUCCCCGAGUUACGCAAUAUCGGUCGGACUGGACGAACGAAUACGGGUCUGGGAUAGAUUUCAGGGUCAGCCGCUCAACACCAUGACCGUCAGUUAUGCAUAUUCAUCGCAUGUGAUGCUGACGCGGUCCCUUCUCGUGACUGGAAA